AAGAGGCUGAGAGUUGAAGAUCACAGGGUGAGGGACACAGGGUAGGAGGGAGAGUGGUCAGCCCAAAAAUUCAGGACAGUGUCAAAAAAAAACAAAUAGAAGGAAGCACGCUCUACUGUCUCCUCCAUCUAUGAAACGCAAAAAUCGAUUUGCAAAACAAACUGGAAUGUCAACACACCAUGACUUAGGCAAUUAGUCAGUUAGGAUUUUUCAAAUACUUUCUCAAGUGCAGGUUUUUAAAAGUUUUAGUUUACGUCCACAGUUCGCGCAUGCCCAUUUUGCUUUGUGGAAUGAGCAUGCACCAGCAACAACAAUGGCGGAUUUGUAAACAGGGUUCUUUACAUUUGGUUAGCUUUAGCAUUAUUUCUUCUCCCUAAACUUUAUAUAAACGAUUUGCAGGAAUGUCAGAGUACUCCUGGGUAUUACAUAUGCAUCUCGUCUGAGAAACUGGGUAUAGGGCAAGUUUUUGAUUACGGAUGAAAAGCAGAAAAUGAUUUGUCAGUUUUUUAAAAUAGAUUUCAAUAUCAAACAUACAGCUGAUCCUAAAUGAAAUACUGUUAUGCUCCAGAGAAAAAGUGAUGGACAAAUUCAUUUGCUGAGUUCCAAACUCUGCUAAGAAUCUGGGAGUGAAGGAUCACACAGGGUCAUCAGUCCCAAGGUUGGGAUGUUGUAAAAGCUGUUGCAGCCUCCACCCCCACAUUGGUGAUCCAUAGUGCAUCACAUCCAGGAAGAUGCCGAAGAAGUCUUGAGAAAUGAAUUCCAGUCAAAGCUCCCUCCACUAAUGGAUUUACCAAUAAAAGUCAGAUAUUGGAUCCAUUUUAUCUGUCAAGAAUAGGGGCCUAAAGUGUAAACAGAAUUUCCAAACCUUAAAUAGUAUUUUAAUACCUUUAUAGGUGAGCUUGGCUGACACUUUUUAUGGAAGGAGGAACCCCGACACUACAUACAGCAUUGUUCCUGUGCUCCACAUCCACACAUGAUCAAACAAGUCUAAAUAUUUUUUCUCUACACAGUUCUGAUAUGACCACCGCAAAUACUGUCCAAAUAUCACUACAGAGCAAUAGUUUCCUGCUACUAUAAUAAUUUCACUAGAAAAAAGACUCUCCCAGAGGCACAACGAUCAUCUCGAGGAAUGCUGCAAUGUCACAUGUAAACCCAGUAUGUCACAACAUUCAUGAAAAUGCAGUCCUGAGUGACUGCUUGUGCUUCUCACUCACAGCCACCUCAGAUCACUACGCUUCAAAAGGGAAAUGGUGCGACAUUUAUUCCACUACAUUUAUUUUUGAAAAUACAUGCAGAAAACACAUGUAUGGUUAUAGGUUAGUGUAUCAAACACUGGAAAUGGACACACCUCCAUCGAUAACAGGGUUAAAAAAUGGAGCUCAUACAUAAGCAAAAAAAAAAAAACAUCCACAAUCUGAAAGGGACUAAAGUAGGUCAUGAGCGCCUUUAUUUAUUCACCUAUCCUAUUACGCAGAGUUGAAUACAUGACUUGCAACAAGGUGCUUUUUGUGUUACAUUUUGUUUAUCUGUAUUGGUUCUGUUACCAAAUGAUCACCUGGAAAUCUGUCAGGACGCAAACUUCAACUUGAAACAGUCCUCUACCAAUUCCUGUAAACCCAGAAGCAAAUUCCCGUAAAUCCUAAAUCCUAUUUCAGUUUCCUUAUGACUGGUUGAUGGGAAGUUAUUCGCACGGAAUUCCCCUAUGCCUGGAAAGCCCUUUAACUCUCUAACAUACAGUCAGCCAACCAGUCGCUCGGCGGAGGACGCGCAGAGACGGAUGCGCUCGUACUCAGCUGCCGGUGACAAUGACUGUAGAAUGGACAUCAGGGCAUUAGUUGUGCUGGCCAGUGCAGGGCAGAGAGCCGUGGAGGGAAUGGGAGCGGAGUCCGACGGAGCAGCCAGAACAGCCAAGUAAGCGAGGAGAGGUGGAGAACCAACAGGAUCAUCAUCAUCCGGCAACUGUCUUAGUCUCGGUCAACCUGCUUUAACUAUAUCAUCUUCAGAAUGCUUGAGAAUACUUGAGAGAAAGAAUAUUAUCAGCCUUUCUGUCAGUUUUGUCUCCUCUGUCGUUUUCCUCUCUUUCUUCCUUCUUUUUCUCUCUUUUCUUUAAUUUCUUCUUAUUAUUUCCAAAGUCCUUUUAAUUUGAAUGACCAGAUUUGCACAAUCAUCCACUUGCAGUUUUACACUUGAAACCAUAUCACCUCUGCCAACCUUCCACCUUAACUAUAUUGUCUAAAUCUUUACAAUUUAUUCCACAUCACCUCUUAAAUAAGGAUGAUUCACUCCACUAACUACAACAGCAACCAUAUUUUAGAUAUAUUUUUAAUUAUCAAAUUUAUUUCAAUUUUUAGUUUAAGUUUAGUUUCAAAAUGUAGGUUCUCAGAACACCACUUAAAAUGUAUUAUAGUUUCCUCAGUGACACGUCAAUUCAGAAGAAAAUACUGAUCUUUCUCAUACCAGUCUGUUCAUUCCAUCACCUCCGUUCUUCCCACCAGGCUGAUAUCCUGACCUCACAAUCCAAAACCAAUUUCUUAAGGAAACUGUGGUCGAGGUCUUUUCUCAGGAGAAGUCCAUGUCUGGGUGGGAAGACACGAGGAUACUGGGAUUCCAGAUGACCCCCCAAGUUAUGUAAGAAAAAUUCUAUAAGAGAUCAGUUCAGAGUAGUAAGAUCUAGAUUAUAGCAGAAUGCACAUUCCGGGCUCAAUCUUACAGCAAGAGAGGUUAUUAAAGAGAAGAGCAGCUUCUCUCAGUCUAAUGCUCCUUUAUACACAGAGGCAAUUUUGGAACAUCCUUUGGCUAGAGUAGAUGCAGAGUUGACAACACAGAACACAUUCCAGUUUGCAACUGCAACGGUCAAGGUCUCAAGGACUUUAUCUGUCUUUACACAACAUUCAGUGAGGAGUAUUUUUCCCUCAGACUACAUGUGUUUUCAAUUCUCUUUCAAGGUAAGUACGUAGUGACACAUACUGCCUUGUUUCAGCUGUAUAAAGCAUUUUUUAUACCUCGCAAUCUAUUUGAUAAAAACCCGCGAGUCUAUGAGCCAUAACUAAAAGCAGCCAUCUCUAAAAUAUGACUUUGCUUUCUUCCACCAGGCACUGUAACAUUAUCUUUUGCUACAUUUUUGAGUAAAUAAAAGACAGUAAUAUACCA